rnacentral:rRNA from 1 species
UACGGAAGGCAGCAGUGGGGAAUAUUGCACAAUGGGCGCAAGCCUGAUGCAGCCAUGCCGCGUGUAUGAAGAAGGCCUUCGGGUUGUAAAGUACUUUCAGUCGUGAGGAAGGUGUUAAGGUUAAUAACCUUAGCAAUUGACGUUAGCGACAGAAGAAGCACCGGCUAACUCCGUGCCAGCAGCCGCGGUAAUACGGAGGGUGCGAGCGUUAAUCGGAAUUACUGGGCGUAAAGGGCACGCAGGCGGCUAAUUAAGUUGGAUGUGAAAUCCCCGGGCUUAACCUGGGAAUGGCAUUCAAGACUGGUUAGCUAGAGUCUUGUAGAGGGGGUAGAAUUCCAUGUGUAGCGGUGAAAUGCGUAGAGAUGUGGAGGAAUACCGGUGGCGAAGGCGGCCCCUGGGACAAAGACUGACGCUCAUGUGCGAAAGCGUGGGGAGCAAACAGGAUUAGGAUACC